rnacentral:misc_RNA from 1 species
ACACCUCAACUCUCAUGGUUUGCCAUGAUGAGCUUGGACUUUGGGGGUCUUGCUGGCCUAUGGUCGGCUCUUCUCAAAUGAAUCAGCUUACCAGUGUUUGGUGGCGUCACAGGUGUGAUAACUAUCUACGCUUGUGGCUUUCCACCAGGUAACCUCUAGCAAUGGAGGUUCGCUGGAGCUCAUAAUCAUCUCUCCUCAACGAGGACAGAUUUUGACC